rnacentral:lncRNA from 1 species
GUGGGUACUAUAGACCUAGCAUACAAAGUUUGGAAAAAUUUCAUCGGGCCAAUGUAUCGCAAAUACGA